GGGUUGUGAGGUUAAGCGACUAAGCGUACACGGUGGAUGCCCUGGCAGUCAGAGGCGAUGAAGGACGUGCUAAUCUGCGAUAAGCGCCGGUAAGGUGAUAUGAACCGUUAUAACCGGCGAUUUCCGAAUGGGGAAACCCAGUGUGAUUCGUCACACUAUCAUUACGUGAAUACAUAGCGUAAUGAAGCGAACCGGGGGAACUGAAACAUCUAAGUACCCCGAGGAAAAGAAAUCAACCGAGAUUCCCCCAGUAGCGGCGAGCGAACGGGGAGGAGCCCAGAGCCUGAAUCAGCAUGUGUGUUAGUGGAAGCGUCUGGAAAGGCGCGCGAUACAGGGUGACAGCCCCGUACACAAAAGCGCAUGUGCUGUGAGCUCGAUGAGUAGGGCGGGACACGUGGUAUCCUGUCUGAAUAUGGGGGGACCAUCCUCCAAGGCUAAAUACUCCUGACUGACCGAUAGUGAACCAGUACCGUGAGGGAAAGGCGAAAAGAACCCCGGCGAGGGGAGUGAAAAAGAACCUGAAACCGUGUACGUACAAGCAGUGGGAGCACAGGUUUACCUGUGUGACUGCGUACCUUUUGUAUAAUGGGUCAGCGACUUAUAUUCUGUAGCAAGGUUAACCGAAUAGGGGAGCCGGAGGGAAACCGAGUCUUAACCGGGCGUUAAGUUGCAGGGUAUAGACCCGAAACCCGGUGAUCUAGCCAUGGGCAGGUUGAAGGUUGGGUAACACUAACUGGAGGACCGAACCGACUAAUGUUGAAAAAUUAGCGGAUGACCUGUGGCUGGGGGUGAAAGGCCAAUCAAACCGGGAGAUAGCUGGUUCUCCCCGAAAGCUAUUUAGGUAGCGCCUCGUGAAUUCAUCUCCGGGGGUAGAGCACUGUUUCGGCUAGGGGGCCAUCCCGGCUUACCAACCCGAUGCAAACUGCGAAUACCGGAGAAUGUUAUCACGGGAGACACACGGCGGGUGCUAACGUCCGUCGUGAAGAGGGAAACAACCCAGACCGCCAGCUAAGGUCCCAAAGUCAUGGUUAAGUGGGAAACGAUGUGGGAAGGCCCAGACAGCCAGGAUGUUGGCUUAGAAGCAGCCAUCAUUUAAAGAAAGCGUAAUAGCUCACUGGUCGAGUCGGCCUGCGCGGAAGAUGUAACGGGGCUAAACCAU
rnacentral:rRNA from 1 species